ensembl:lncRNA
UGGGAGCCUCAGCAUAGAGCGGGAGGCUUAAACUCAAGGAGAGCCUCUCCAUAUAAAGGAGAUCCCGUGAGAGUUGAGCAACUCACGUUUGUUCUCGUUGUCCGGCAUGUGCUGAAGUCUGGGUGCUUUGUUUGUUGCUCGCCAGUACCGUGCGGGUGAGCAAACCGUACUAAGGAGAAGGUCAGACCUGAACCAGACCUGGUGAGCCCAGGGUCCUACCUGCUGGUGCACAGGUGCAUUGGGCCAAGGAGUAGGAGAGAUCCGGCGACGGCGAGGGAGUGCUGAGCAGACGCGGAAGCCGGAGCCGAUCGUGUGUUAUUGUUUGG